CGUGAAUCCAUGGACAUCAUUCUAGGUCCAAUUCUAAUAAGUUAACUAAGCCAGAAACUGAGUUAUGUUCAAAGCAAUAAAUGACAAACUGAGUUAUGUUCAAGAAUUUGGACCUAAAAGACUCACCAUAUGUACAUACGAACACAUACAGAUAAUUAAUUGACAGUGGGUGUGUGUAUACUGUGUGUGAUAAUGUGUGUUUGUGUGUGUAUAACAGUGGGUGGGUGUAUGUGUGUGAGUAGAACAGUGGUUGUAAGAGUAACUUACCAAACAACUAAAUCAAGCCUCCUCCGUUCGAUUCCUCACGCCCAAAUCAAGCCUCCUUCAUUCACCUCCUCACGCCCAAAUUCUCUAUCUUCUCCUCGUUGUGUGUAUAUGUGGGCAAUGGAGAGGAAGAGGGAAAGGAAGUGAGAGAGGGAAUCGUCGCUGGUGAAGAAGAAAAAGGGAGUCGCCGGUGAAGAGGGAGAGGGAAAAGGGAAUCGCAGGUGGGAGGGAAGAGAGCGAGCNNNNNNNNNN
rnacentral:lncRNA from 1 species